GAUAUCAACUUUGGUGUUUAUGACGUCGAUAUUCGACGUCAUCAACACGAUCAACUUUGGUGUUUAUGACGUCGAUAUACGACGUCAUAAACACGAUACAAUUUUUGGUGUUUAUGAUGUCGAUAUUCGACGUCAUAAACACGAUACAACUUUGGUGUU